rnacentral:rRNA from 1 species
UACGGAGGGUGCGAGCGUUGUCCGGAUUUAUUGGGUUUAAAGGGUGCGUAGGCGGCUUUGUAAGUCAGUGGUGAAAGACGACAGCUCAACUGUCGAGGUGCCAUUGAUACUGCAGGGCUAGAGUACUGAUGAGGUAGGCGGAAUGGACGGUGUAGCGGUGAAAUGCUUAGAUAUCGUCCAGAACACCGAUAGCGAAGGCAGCUUACUAAGGAGUAACUGACGCUGAGGCACGAAAGUGUGGGGACCAAACAGG